UACAGAGGCCACAAGCGUUAGUCGGAAUCACUGGGCUUAAAGGGUGCGUAGGUGGCCCACCAAGUGUCUUGUGAAAUACCUUAGCUCAACUAAGGAACAGCAGGGCAUACUGGUGGGCUCGAGGCAGGUAAGGGUCGCUGGAGCAAUAGGUGGAGCGGUGAAAUGCGUAGAUAUCUAUUGGAACGCCGAUGGUGAAGACGAGCGACUGGGCCUGACCUGACACUGAGGCACGAAAGCGUGGGGAGCAAACAGG
rnacentral:rRNA from 1 species